rnacentral:rRNA from 1 species
UACAGAGGCCUCAAGCGUUAGGCGGAAUCACUGGGCUUAAAGCGUGUGUAGGCGGACUUCUAAGUACCUUGUGAAAUCCCACGGCUUAACUGUGGAACUGCUUGGUAUACUGGUUGUCUUGAGCCACUCAGGGGCGAGCGGAACAAAUGGUGGAGCGGUGAAAUGCGUAGAUAUCAUUUGGAACGCCAAUGGUGAAAACAGCUCGCUGGGGGUGUGCUGACGCUGAGACACGAAAGCCAGGGGAGCGAAAGGG